AUUGAACGCUGGCGGCAGGCCUAACACAUGCAAGUCGAGCGGUUGAGGUAGCUUGCUACCGAUGCAGCGGCGGACGGGUGAGUAAUACAUGGGAAUCUGCCUGGUAGUGGGGGACAACGUUUCGAAAGGAACGCUAAUACCGCAUACGCCCUACGGGGAAAGGGGGGAUCGCAAGACCUCUCGCUAUCAGAUGAGCCCAU
rnacentral:rRNA from 1 species